rnacentral:rRNA from 1 species
AACGAACGCUGGCGGCAGGCCUAACACAUGCAAGUCGAGCGCGUGCAGCAAUGCACGAGCGGCGCACGGGUGAGUAACGCGUGGGAAUCUGCCCUAUGGUGGGGGACAACCUCGGGAAACUGAGGCUAAUACCGCAAACGUCCGUAGGGAGAAAGACUUCGGUCGCCAUAGGAUGAGCCCGCGUCCGAUUAGCUAGUUGGUGAGGUAACGGCUCACCAAGGCGACGAUCGGUAGCUGGUCUGAGAGGACGGCCAGCCACACUGGGACUGAGACACGGCCCAGACUCCUACGGGAGGCAGCAGUGGGGAAUAUUGGACAAUGGGGGCAACCCUGAUCCAGCCAUGCCGCGUGAGUGAUGAAGGCCUUCGGGUUGUAAAGCUCUUUUGGCGGGGACGAUGAUGACGGUACCCGCAGAAUAAGCCCCGGCUAACUUCGUGCCAGCAGCCGCGGUAA